rnacentral:rRNA from 1 species
CUACGGGGUGCUCCAGUGAGGAAUUUUGCGCAAUGGGGGAAACCCUGACGCAGCAACGCCGCGUGAGUGAAGAAGGCCUUUGGGUCGUAAAGCUCUGUCAACUGGGAAGAAGUUAGAAUCUAUUAAUAGUAGAUUUUAUUGACGGUACCAGUGGUGGAAGCGCCGGCUAACUCCGUGCCAGCAGCCGCGGUAACACGGGGGGCGCAAGCGUUAUUCGGAAUUAUUGGGCGUAAAGGGCGCGCAGGCGGUCUUGUCAGUCAGGUGUGAAAGCCCGGGGCUCAACCCUGGAAGUGCACUUGAAACAGCAAGACUUGAGUACGGGAGAGGAGAGAGGAAUUCCUGGUGUAGAGGUGAAAUUCGUAGAUAUCAGGAGGAACACCGAUGGCGAAGGCAUCUCUCUGGACCGAUACUGACGCUGAGGCGCGAAGGCGUGGGUAGCGAACGGGAUUAGAUACCCGCGUAGUC